rnacentral:pre_miRNA from 1 species
UAUCUCAGAGGAGUGAACCUGAGAACACAAAGUAAAUUGUUUCGGAGUUUGGAAUGCCAUAAUCACAUGCAUAAUGCAUUUAUGCUUAUGCUUGUAUAUGGUACAUAUUUUCGAAUUUUAAUUUACCUUGUGUUCUCAGGUCACCCCUUUGAG